rnacentral:rRNA from 1 species
AUUAGGAAUCUUGCGCAAUGGGCGAAAGCCUGACGCAGCGACGCCGCGUGCGGGAUGACGGCCUUCGGGUUGUAAACCGCUUUUGCCGGGGAAGAAGGAUGUGACGGUACCCGGUGAAUAAGCCCCGGCUAACUACGUGCCAGCAGCCGCGGUAAUACGUAGGGGGCGAGCGUUGUCCGAAGUUACUGGGCGUAAAGCGCGCGUAGGCGGCUUUCUAAGUUUGGUGUGAAAGGUUCAGGGCUCAACCCGAACAGUGCACUGAAUACUGGAAGGCUUGAGUGGGGGAGAGGAGAGUGGAAUUCCUGGUGUAGCGGUGAAAUGCGUAGAUAUCAGGAGGAACACCGAUGGCGAAGGCAGCUCUCUGGCCUCUUACUGACGCUGAGGUGCGAAAGCGUGGGGAGCGAACGG